rnacentral:rRNA from 1 species
GACGAACGCUGGCGGCGUGCUUAACACAUGCAAGUCGAACGGAAAGGCCCCUUUGGGGGUACUCGAGUGGCGAACGGGUGAGUAACACGUGAGUAACCUGCCCUUGACUUCGGGAUAACUUCAGGAAACUGGGGCUAAUACCGGAUAGGAAUCCUUGCUGCAUGGUGGGGGUUGGAAAGCUUCGGCGGUUUUGGAUGGACUCGCGGCUUAUCAGCUUGUUGGUGGGGUAGUGGCUUACCAAGGCUUUGACGGGUAGCCGGCCUGAGAGGGCGACCGGCCACAGUGGGACUGAGAUACGGCCCAGACUCCUACGGGAGGCAGAAGUGGGGAAUAUUGAACAAUGGGCGGAAGCCUGAUGCAGCAACGCCGCGUGCGGGAUGACGGCCUUCGGGUUGUAAACCGCUUUCAGCAGGGGCGAAGCUUGUGGUGACGGUACCUGCAGAAGAAGCACCGGCUAACUACGUG